UACGAAGGGGGCUAGCGUUGCUCGGAAUCACUGGGCGUAAAGGGUGCGUAGGCGGGUCUUUAAGUCAGGGGUGAAAUCCUGGAGCUCAACUCCAGAACUGCCUUUGAUACUGAGGAUCUUGAGUUCGGGAGAGGUGAGUGGAACUGCGAGUGUAGAGGUGAAAGUCGUAGAUAUUCGCAAGAACACCAGUGGCGAAGGCGGCUCACUGGCCCGAUACUGACGCUGAGGCACGAAAGCGUGGGGAGCAAACAGG
rnacentral:rRNA from 1 species